rnacentral:lncRNA from 1 species
CUGGUAAUUUUAAGAAAAGAAAUCCAUUAUUUUGGAACCAUGACAUUUUUUCAGAUGGAUUUUAUUGUAGCUAGCAUAUUUUAGAACCAUGACUGCACUUAGAAACCACUUCAAGUUGAGAUUGCCAGCCUAAUAAAUUAUGAUUGUUCUCCAAUGUUCCCAAACAUAGUCAAUAAUUCUUAUAGAAUGUUAAAUUCUGAGCUGUAGCUGCCUCCUGCAUAAAAUUGGUUAUAUGACAGUGUAGAUGCAUACAAUGUUUUCUUGUCAUUCAUUGUGUAUAUAUUAUAAUAACUUACUUUCAGUUAACUAUCGGUAAUUGACAAUCAAAGUUGUCUGCAAUUAUCAUUCUUAUAACUAUUUAUGAGAUUGCCAAAGUUGAUUGAUAGAAAAUAUUUCCAAUUCUUUGCAUUGCAACCCGAUCUGUGGGCUGUUUUCUCAGUGCUUACAUUCAUGGUAUUAUGCAUUUAGUAGUUGAACAGAACAUAGUGAUAUCCCCAAAAUAAGUUUCUUUUUGAAGGGUCACCAGCUAGCACAAUAUAGAUAUCCCCAUCUGAAUAACAUUAUUGCAUUGUUGAAUGGUGAUUGGUGAGUGGCUUAAUAGAACUGUUUACAUGCUGUUGGAUAGCUAGGGGGUUCAGAAGAGAUAUAUUUACAUUAGUGGAUAGAGUAAUAGAUAAGUUGAAGUGAAAGUUUUGCCUUGGCCACACACGGUUAUCAAUUUAUUCUACAUAUGUGAAUGAUGCUUGGCCCAUUCUAUAAAUCAUGGAUGAUAUGUCAGUGAAAGUAAAGAAAGAUAUGUCAAUCAGUAAAUGUGUGUUUGUUGGUAGCAUAAGAGCAGGUACAAUAAUGGGUUUAUAGCCAAGCUAAUGCUGAUGUGGAGGAGAGAAGAGAGGAGAGAGAUGAUAGCUUGGCUCUUAUGUAAGCACCAAGCUGGGCACGGAUGCAUAGGUAGUAGUGGGCCCAAAUAGCAACUGUUGUGAGAAAGAAUAGGAAAGAGAAUAUGUUUUAGAGACAAGUAUGAGACAACUUAUUGUAUAACUUGGCUCUAAUCACUUGGCUUAUAGUCAAGCACUUGGCUCUA